CCUACGGGUGGCAGCAGUAGGGAAUAUUGCGCAAUGGGGGAAAGCCUGAAGCAGCAACGCCGCGUGGAGGAUGAAGGUUUUCGGAUUGUAAACUCCUUUUGAUAGAGAAGAGAAUGACGGUAUCUAAGUAAUAAGAACCAGCUCACUCCGUGCCAGCCGCCGCGGUAAUACGGAGGGUGCAAGCGUUACUCGGAAGCACUGGGCGUAAAGGGCGCGUAGCCGGGAUGGCAAGUCAGAUGUGAAAUCCUCUGGCUCAACCAUAGAACUGCAUGUGAAACUGUUGUUCUAGAGUAUGGGAGAGGUAGGUGGAAUUCUUGGUGUAGCGGUCAAAUCCGUAGAGAUCAAGAGGAAUACU
rnacentral:rRNA from 1 species